CGGGGUGCAGCAGGCGCGAAACCUUUACACUGCACGACAGUGCGAUAGGGGGAUCCCAAGUGCACAGGCAUAGCGCCUGUGCUUUUCGGUACCCUAAGGCGGUACCAGAAUAAGGGCUGGGCAAGACCGGUGCCAGCCGCCGCGGUAAUACCGGCAGCCCAAGUGAUGGCCGAUCUUAUUGGGCCUAAAGCGUCCGUAGCUGGCCACGCAAGUCCAUCGGGAAAUCCACCUGCCCAACAGGUGGACGCCCGGUAGAAACUGCGUGGCUUGGGACCGGAAGGCGCGACGGGUACGUCCGGGGUAGGAGUGAAAUCCCGUAAUCCUGGACGGACCGCCGAUGGCGAAAGCACGUCGCGAGAACGGAUCCGACAGUGAGGGACGAAAGCCAGGGUCUCGAACCGGAUUAGAUACCCGGGUAGUCCUGGCCGUAAACAAUGUCUGCUAGGUGUGGCUCCCACUACGAGUGGGUGCUGUGCCGCAGGGAAGCCGCUAAGCAGACCGC
rnacentral:rRNA from 1 species